GGGCGCGUAGCUCAGUGGGAGAGCGCUUCCUUGACGCGGAAGAGGUCGGUAGUUCGAUCCUACUCGCGCCCACCA
rnacentral:tRNA from 2 species